UACGGAGGGUGCAAGCGUUGUUCGGAAUUAUUGGGCGUAAAGGGCAGGUAGGUGGUCUUAUAAGUCUGCUGUGAAAUCCCUGAGCUUAACUCAGGAAGUGCGGGCAGAUACUGUAAGACUAGAGUACUGGAGGGGGUUCGUGGGAAAUUUCCCCGGGUGUAGCGGGUGAAAAUGCGUAGAUAUCGGGAGGAACACCAGAGGCGAAGGCGGCGAACUGGACAGUAACUGACACUCAACUGCG
rnacentral:rRNA from 1 species